rnacentral:misc_RNA from 1 species
CAAGAAGCCGAAAGGCAACUUCAAACCAUCGCGAACGUAUCCAAGUUGCUUCGGCGGCGCGGGACCCCUCGGGGGACCGCAGCCCACGCCCCCCGGGGCGAGGGGCGCCCGCCGGAGGUCACAAACUCUCAUGUAUUAUAGUGGCAUCUCUGAGUAAAAAACAAAUAAGUUA